GUUAAGAGAAAUUAUUUAUACAGUCUUCAUAUUUUAAAGACGAGAUCUUUAUUUAAAUGGCGGGUAAGCAUGUUUCCUCUAACCAUUUUGACAAAUGUGGCUCUGUGUCAAUAGGAUGGGAACAGGAGAAAACAGUGGGGCCACUGGCCAUCCUUCCAAAAAAAAUCAAAAUGGGAUUUCUGGCUCCUCCCAGAGUGAAGCAGGGUGUUCCACCAGUCCCUUCUCUCAGUAAAGAUAAGAAACCGAUGCCUCAUAGUAGCCUAUGGAAGAAUGGUGUUUCUGCUGAGAUGGAUCACGAGGGUGCUAUAACUCCUCAACCCUCAUUGGAAGUCACUGAGCAAGCUAAUAUCAUGGAAAUUAAAGCAGAAUCCAAGAAGCUGGAAGGGGAGGAUGAAUAUGACCGUGAAGAUGGUGAUGAUAAAGAAGACUAUGAUGGUGGAGAUGAAGACCAUGACUAUGAAGAGGAAAAAGAAAAGGCAAAAGAGAUUAAUCAAAGCAUGUGGAAGACUAGACUCUUGCCAGAAGAAGGUACUGCACAAAACUGGAAUGGUAUUUGUUUAGUCAAGUGUGGGGAGGUUGUUUGGGGUACGUAUCUUUGCUCAUGGAAUAGUCUUAUCUUGCAGAUUUUAAAGAACUCUUCACAACUCGUGCCUCUAACAGUGAGGAAGACUCUGGACUGCAUACAUUAGGUACAAGCCCCUCCCUUCCAGAUGAAGAAGAGGGUACAUAUCACCCUUCUAAAGAUACCUAAACUUAUAAAGCAAAGGUUAUGAAUGCUGACAGAGAUGAAGCAAUUUUACUGAGGUGGAGGAAAACCUUGCUCGUGAAGAAAACAAAAAGGAACUGAGGCAUAAGAGCUUUCACCAUUCCACUAAUUAAAUGGUUUCAUAAAUUAAACUUUUUUUUCAUUGUCUUUAUUCAUUGUUUUUGUCAAUUUAUAUAAAAAGUAGUAACCUGCAAUUAUUACCUCAAAGAAACAUUUUUACCUGAUUUAACCCAUAAAAAUUAGUUUAGGUAUAAAUGUAUUUACUUUGUUUUAUUAAAAUCCAAAAUCUGAUUUGGCAUCACCAAAUUAACCCUCUGGAGUCUAAG
ensembl:lncRNA